rnacentral:rRNA from 1 species
AUUGAACGCUGGCGGCAUGCCUUACACAUGCAAGUCGAACGGUAACAGGUCUUCGGAUGCUGACGAGUGGCGAACGGGUAAGUAAUAUAUCGGAACGUGCCCAGUAGUGGGGGAUAACUGCUCGAAAGAGCAGCUAAUACCGCAUACGACCUGAGGGUGAAAGGGGGGGAUCGCAAGACCUCUCGCUAUUGGAGCGGCCGACAUCAGAUUAGCUAGUUGGUGGGGUAAAGGCCUACCGAGGCAACGAUCUGUAGUUGGUCUGAGAGGACGACCAGCCACACUGGGACUGAGACACGGCCCAGACUCCUACGGGAGGCAGCAGUGGGGAAUUUUGGACAAUGGGCGCAAGCCUGAUCCAGCAAUGCCGCGUGCAGGAAGAAGGCCUUCGGGUUGUAAACUGCUUUUGUCAGGGAAGAAAUCUUCUGGGCUAAUACCCCGGGAGGAUGACGGUACCUGAAGAAUAAGCACCGGCUAACUACGUGCCAGCCGCCGCCGUAA